rnacentral:rRNA from 1 species
UACGUAGGGUGCAAGCGUUUGUCCGGAAUUAUUGGGCGUAAAGAGCUCGUAGGCGGUCUGUCGCGUCUGACUGUGAAAACUCGGGGCUUAACCCGGCCUGCAGUGGGUGACGGGCAGACUAGAGUGCGGUAGGGGAGAUGGAAUUCCUGGUGUAGGCGGUGAAAUGCGCAGAUAUCAGGAGGAACACCGGUGGCGAAGGCGGUGGUCUGGGCCGGCACUGACGCUGAGGAGCGAAAGCGUGGGGAGCGAACAGG